GGCGGCGAAAGAUGGUGGCGAAAGGGACAUCCGCGACACUACUCUGAACACAGCCGACGACGAUUUGGAAUAGGUGUUUCAACAUUUCAAUUAGUUUUUGUUCUUCCGAAACUUUCUUCUGCUGUGUGAUUCUAUUGCUUUUUCUGUUUUGUGGUUAUCCUCUAGAUCUAGAAUUGGCUAUGUGCUUUUGGAAAAGAAAAAAAAAAAACCAAUCUUUUGGAAAAAUCUGAUCUAACCCGUCACACUAGAGGGUAAUUUUGGAAAACAAUAAAUAAAAACAAACUUUUUUAUAUUAUUUUGACUGAAGUUAAUUUUAGGUGGGGCCAACCAUCAUUUAUUGCUUCUUAUCAUGUGCCUCAAGGGCACAAGUUAACAUUGCCCUUUUAGUUUCUAGGAACUUUCUUAGUGGUAUUGAAUUUUAUUUAAAUGAAUUACUAUUGUCUCACAAAACACAAAAAAUAUUUAGGCGUGCUUGUUUUGUUCUUUAGUUUUUUCUUCUUUGUGAUGAAAUAUUGUGUGUUCUUAAUUGUCUAAUGAUAAAUUGCCAUGUCAUUUUAAUAAAUAAAUAAAAGAAAAGGUAAAUUUGUUAAUUUAUCAUUUUAGAUAGAAUAGACUCAAUAGAGUAUAUCCCUUGUUCAACCUUUUGCAUGGACUAAUCACACCCUAACCUUGUAUGGUUUGAUAGUAUUGAGAAUACCAUUCCCUAUUUUUUUUUUUUUGUUUGGGUUUGAAUUUGGAAUAUUUCACUAAUUCACUUUAAGAGGUGAAUUUAUAUCCAUUAGACUAUGACAAAAAAAAAAUCAACGAUAGGAAACCUUGAUUUGUAGUGUAGAAAUUGAUGGGUGAGCUUACUAAAGAAUGUCUCUUGCCACAAUGCUUCAUUAGUUAGUACUACCAGCUUUGCAUAAUGUUUAUCAAGAGAGCAUUGGUGGAUUUCUAGUGCUUGUGGCCACCUUGGUUAAUAGUAGUCAUUGUACUAUAGUACUCUUAUUUUGAUUGAGUAUCAAUAAAUUUGUUCACAAUUCAUAGUAUAUAUUUGAAAGCACAAAUAAGAAUGAGAAUAAAAUUAUAUAAACUACAAGUCAGUGGGUGCCUUUGUUUGUUGCGUCAAUUGAACUUUAGUAGUACAAGGUAGACGGUAUUAUCGCUGUUCUUAAUUAUAUUCUCACUCCGAAAUUGGUGUUAUUUUGUUUGUUAUAGUACUACUCGUUGCAAUUAUUUCCAAACUUUAGUAUAAUUUUUGUUAAAAGAUCAGCAAAUUAAACAAUUUUGCUUACUUGUUCGCAAGGUAUCUUUGUUAUAUAUGUGCUAGUCACCAAAUCAAAUGAUUACAUCUCAUCUUAUAUUUAGAUCUCAGGUGACGGAAAAAGGCGCCCAGAAGUGAUGAGCAGUCGCGGUCGAAGCUUGGCUCUAGACGAUAGGCUAGCAAUAAACUUGGCUACAACAAAGUGCUUACCAAGCGUGAAGGAUCCGUUCCUCUCUCCCACCCAGCAAGAGGAUGCGCGAACCUCCAAGUCAAGCGCGUAAUUUUUGUUUGUAUCUUUGUAACUUUUUGUAUCUUUUUAGUUGUUUUGGCAGCUCUUGUGUUUAGAUAACAUUUUAAUGCACUAUUAGCUUUAAAAAAAAAAAACAUAUUUUGCAUUAGAUUAACAAAGCUCAUUC
rnacentral:lncRNA from 1 species